rnacentral:rRNA from 1 species
AUUGAACGCUGGCGGCAGGCCUAACACAUGCAAGUCGAGCGAGCGGCGGACGGGAGAGUAAUGUCUGGGAAUUGUCCAGGCGAGGGGGAUAACAGUUGGACACGACCGCUAACACCGCAUACUCAUGGAAUGCCCAGGUGGGAUUAGCUAGUGGGUGGGGUAAUGGCUCACCAAGGAGACGAUCCCUAGCUGGUCUGAGAGGAUGAUCAGCCACACUGGAACUGAGACACGGUCCAGACUCCUACGGGAGGCAGCAGUGGGGAAUAUUGCACAAUGGGGGAAACCCUGAUACAGCCAUGCCGCGUGUAUGAAGAAGGCCUUCGGGUUGUAAAGCACUUUCAGCGGGGAGGCGUUACUCGCAGAAGAAGCACCGGCUAACUCCGUGCCAGCAGCCGCGGUAAUAC